rnacentral:tRNA from 1 species
AGAGCCUUAGGUUAAGAUUAAAUCAAGAGCCUUCAAAGUUCUAGUUGAAAGUGAGAUAUGUGCUUUCAGGUUCUG